rnacentral:rRNA from 2 species
GGGUUGUGAGGUUAAGCGACUAAGCGUACACGGUGGAUGCCCUGGCAGUCAGAGGCGAUGAAGGGCGUGCUAAUCUGCGAUAAGCGCCGGUAAGGUGAUAUGAACCGUUAUAACCGGCGAUACCCGAAUGGGGAAACCCAGUGUGACUCGUCACACUAUCAUUAACUGAAUCCAUAGGUUAAUGAGGCGAACCGGGGGAACUGAAACAUCUAAGUACCCCGAGGAAAAGAAAUCAACCGAGAUUCCCCCAGUAGCGGCGAGCGAACGGGGAGGAGCCCAGAGCCUGAAUCAGCAUGUGUGUUAGUGGAAGCGUCUGGAAAGGCGCGCGAUACAGGGUGACAGCCCCGUACACAAAAGCGCAUGUGCUGUGAGCUCGAUGAGUAGGGCGGGACACGUGGUAUCCUGUCUGAAUAUGGGGGGACCAUCCUCCAAGGCUAAAUACUCCUGACUGACCGAUAGUGAACCAGUACCGUGAGGGAAAGGCGAAAAGAACCCCGGCGAGGGGAGUGAAAAAGAACCUGAAACCGUGUACGUACAAGCAGUGGGAGCACAGGUUUACCUGUGUGACUGCGUACCUUUUGUAUAAUGGGUCAGCGACUUAUAUUCUGUAGCAAGGUUAACCGAAUAGGGGAGCCGGAGGGAAACCGAGUCUUAACCGGGCGUUAAGUUGCAGGGUAUAGACCCGAAACCCGGUGAUCUAGCCAUGGGCAGGUUGAAGGUUGGGUAACACUAACUGGAGGACCGAACCGACUAAUGUUGAAAAAUUAGCGGAUGACCUGUGGCUGGGGGUGAAAGGCCAAUCAAACCGGGAGAUAGCUGGUUCUCCCCGAAAGCUAUUUAGGUAGCGCCUCGUGAAUUCAUCUCCGGGGGUAGAGCACUGUUUCGGCUAGGGGGCCAUCCCGGCUUACCAACCCGAUGCAAACUGCGAAUACCGGAGAAUGUUAUCACGGGAGACACACGGCGGGUGCUAACGUCCGUCGUGAAGAGGGAAACAACCCAGACCGCCAGCUAAGGUCCCAAAGUCAUGGUUAAGUGGGAAACGAUGUGGGAAGGCCCAGACAGCCAGGAUGUUGGCUUAGAAGCAGCCAUCAUUUAAAGAAAGCGUAAUAGCUCACUGGUCGAGUCGGCCUGCGCGGAAGAUGUAACGGGGCUAAACCAUGCACCGAAGCUGCGGCAGCGACGCUUAUGCGUUGUUGGGUAGGGGAGCGUUCUGUAAGCCUGUGAAGGUGGCCUGUGAGGGUUGCUGGAGGUAUCAGAAGUGCGAAUGCUGACAUAAGUAACGAUAAAGCGGGUGAAAAGCCCGCUCGCCGGAAGACCAAGGGUUCCUGUCCAACGUUAAUCGGGGCAGGGUGAGUCGACCCCUAAGGCGAGGCCGAAAGGCGUAGUCGAUGGGAAACGGGUUAAUAUUCCCGUACUUGGUGUUACUGCGAAGGGGGGACGGAGAAGGCUAUGUUGGCCGGGCGACGGUUGUCCCGGUUUAAGCGUGUAGGUGUGUGUUCCAGGUAAAUCCGGUUCACUUUAACACUGAGGCGUGACGACGAGGCACUACGGUGCUGAAGCAACAAAUGCCCUGCUUCCAGGAAAAGCCUCUAAGCAUCAGGUAACAUCAAAUCGUACCCCAAACCGACACAGGUGGUCAGGUAGAGAAUACCAAGGCGCUUGAGAGAACUCGGGUGAAGGAACUAGGCAAAAUGGUGCCGUAACUUCGGGAGAAGGCACGCUGACACGUAGGUGAAGUGAUUUACUCAUGGAGCUGAAGUCAGUCGAAGAUACCAGCUGGCUGCAACUGUUUAUUAAAAACACAGCACUGUGCAAACACGAAAGUGGACGUAUACGGUGUGACGCCUGCCCGGUGCCGGAAGGUUAAUUGAUGGGGUCAGCGCAAGCGAAGCUCCUGAUCGAAGCCCCGGUAAACGGCGGCCGUAACUAUAACGGUCCUAAGGUAGCGAAAUUCCUUGUCGGGUAAGUUCCGACCUGCACGAAUGGCGUAAUGAUGGCCAGGCUGUCUCCACCCGAGACUCAGUGAAAUUGAACUCGCUGUGAAGAUGCAGUGUACCCGCGGCAAGACGGAAAGACCCCGUGAACCUUUACUAUAGCUUGACACUGAACAUUGAGCCUUGAUGUGUAGGAUAGGUGGGAGGCUUUGAAGUGUGGACGCCAGUCUGCAUGGAGCCGACCUUGAAAUACCACCCUUUAAUGUUUGAUGUUCUAACGUGGACCCGUAAUCCGGGUUGCGGACAGUGUCUGGUGGGUAGUUUGACUGGGGCGGUCUCCUCCUAAAGAGUAACGGAGGAGCACGAAGGUUGGCUAAUCCUGGUCGGACAUCAGGAGGUUAGUGCAAUGGCAUAAGCCAGCUUGACUGCGAGCGUGACGGCGCGAGCAGGUGCGAAAGCAGGUCAUAGUGAUCCGGUGGUUCUGAAUGGAAGGGCCAUCGCUCAACGGAUAAAAGGUACUCCGGGGAUAACAGGCUGAUACCGCCCAAGAGUUCAUAUCGACGGCGGUGUUUGGCACCUCGAUGUCGGCUCAUCACAUCCUGGGGCUGAAGUAGGUCCCAAGGGUAUGGCUGUUCGCCAUUUAAAGUGGUACGCGAGCUGGGUUUAGAACGUCGUGAGACAGUUCGGUCCCUAUCUGCCGUGGGCGCUGGAGAACUGAGGGGGGCUGCUCCUAGUACGAGAGGACCGGAGUGGACGCAUCACUGGUGUUCGGGUUGUCAUGCCAAUGGCACUGCCCGGUAGCUAAAUGCGGAAGAGAUAAGUGCUGAAAGCAUCUAAGCACGAAACUUGCCCCGAGAUGAGUUCUCCCUGAGACUUAGAGUCUCCUGAAGGAACGUUGAAGACGACGACGUUGAUAGGCCGGGUGUGUAAGCGCAGCGAUGCGUUGAGCUAACCGGUACUAAUGAACCGUGAGGCUUAACCUUACAACGCCGAAG